AAACGCAGUGAAGAGUGCUACAAAGUACUGAGAUUGGAGUGGUGCACUCCAGCAUGCAGACAGCAGCCAGGGCGGCAAGACUCCCAAAGCAAUUCUUGAGCCAGCCUUAAAGGAUGAAAGGGAUUUUCUUUGGCAGAGAGAAUAUUAUUGCUUCAUGAUGAAGUCUUUGGGGGAGAGUCUCUGUUCUAUAAUUGGCUGCAGAUGAUGCCAGGAUGAAGGGCGCUGCCGCCUCUACUGACUGAAGAAUGAUACUGCCACAGGCAUAUCUGCCUCAUUUGCCCUAACAUCUCCCUGCCAUGUGAUGGAUCCAUUUUGGCAUGAUCUUGACUGUCAGCAGCUAGUGUGCCAGUCCAGCAGGUAAGUACAGUGACCCACACAGUAAGGACUAUGUGUCUCACCUAUGACCAGCCUCAUGGAGAUGUUGAGGAAUUAGACUUUUGACCAUUUUUCUCCAUUGUGCUUAGUGUGUUGGCCUCUGCCCACAUGCCUGCCAACAGGUGUUUGAAAGCUGUAUGCUUGGUCACAAGGUCCUCUUACAGGCAUUCUCAGAAGAUAACAGAUGUGUGGAGGUGUCUGGAUCUUUCCUGGGACUAGACGAAGUAUUCUAUUAACAGAUCUUAGAGUACCAGCUGACAAGACUAGCAGUCUGUCCGUGGUUACCACCAUCGCCAUCCAAGUGCUCAGAGCUCCCAGCCCGAGAAAGUGUCCAGGACUAAUUUCCCCUGCAGGUUGUGUGGGGGCGAGUGUGAGUCUCCCUGUUAUUAUUU